rnacentral:rRNA from 1 species
GAUGAACGCUGGCGGCGUGCCUAAUACAUGCAAGUCGAGCGAACAGACGAGGAGCUUGCUCCUCUGACGUUAGCGGCGGACGGGUGAGUAACACGUGGAUAACCUACCUAUAAGACUGGGAUAACUUCGGGAAACCGGAGCUAAUACCGGAUAAUAUAUUGAACCGCAUGGGGCAAUAGUGAAAGACGGUUUUGCUGUCACUUAUAGAUGGAUCCGCGCCGCAUGAGCUAGUUGGUAAGGUAACGGCUUACCAAGGCGACGAUGCGUAGCCGACCUGAGAGGGUGAUCGGCCACACUGGAACUGAGACACGGUCCAGACUCCUACGGGAGGCAGCAGUAGGGAAUCUUCCGCAAUGGGCGAAAGCCUGACGGAGCAACGCCGCGUGAGUGAUGAAGGUCUUCGGAUCGUAAAACUCUGUUAUUAGGGAAGAACAAAUGUGUAAGUAACUAUGCACGUCUUGACGGUACCUAAUCAGAAAGCCACGGCUAACUACGUG